rnacentral:rRNA from 1 species
UGAGGAAUAUUGGUCAAUGGACGGAAGUCUGAACCAGCCAAGUAGCGUGCAGGAAGACGGCCCUAUGGGUUGUAAACUGCUUUUGUAUGGGGAUAAAGUCAAUCACGUGUGAUUGUUUGCAGGUACCAUACGAAUAAGGACCGGCUAAUUCCGUGCCAGCAGCCGCGGUAAUACGGAAGGUUCGGGUGUUAUCCGGAUUUAUUGGGUUUAAAGGGAGCGUAGGCCGGAGAUUAAGUGUGUUGUGAAAUGUAGACGCUCAACGUCUGACUUGCAGCGCAUACUGGUUUCCUUGAAUACGCACAACGUUGGCGGAAUUCGUCGUGUAGCGGUGAAAUGCUUAGAUAUGACGAAGAACUCCGAUUGCGAAGGCAGCUGACGGGAGCGCAACUGACGCUGAAGCUCGAAGGUGCGGGUAUCGAACAGGAUUAGAUACCCUGGUAGUCCGCACAGUAAACGAUGGAUGCCCGCUGUUGGUACGUGGUAUCAGCGGCUAAGCGAAAGCAUUAAGCAUCCCACCUGGGGAGUACGCCGGCAACGGU